rnacentral:rRNA from 1 species
UACGUAGGUGGCAAGCGUUGUCCGGAUUUAUUGGGUUUAAAGGGUGCGUAGGCGGUCCUAUAAGUCAGUGCUGAAAAUAUCCCGGCUUAACCGGGAGGGUGGCAUUGAUACUGCAGGACUUGAGUAAAGUUGAGGUAGGCGGAAUUGACGGUGUAGCGGUGAAAUGCUUAGAUAUCGUCAAGAACACCGAUAGUGAAGACAGCUUACUAAACUUUAACUGACGCUGAGGCACGAAAGUGUGGGGAUCAAACAGG